GAUGAACGCUGGCGGCGUGCCUAAUACAUGCAAGUCGAGCGAACAGACGAGAGUGCUUGCACUCUCUGACGUUAGCGGCGGACGGGUGAGUAACACGUGGGUAACCUACCUAUUAGACUGGGAUAACUUCGGGAAACCGGAGCUAAUACCGGAUAAUAUUUAGCUUCGCAUGACGCAAUAGUGAAAGACGGUUCUGCUGUCACUUAUAGAUGGACCCGCGGUGUAUUAGCUAGUUGGUGAGGUAACGGCUCACCAAGGCAACGAUACAUAGCCGACCUGAGAGGGUGAUCGGCCACACUGGGACUGAGACACGGCCCAGACUCCUACGGGAGGCAGCAGUAGGGAAUCUUCCGCAAUGGACGAAAGUCUGACGGAGCAAUGCCGCGUGAGUGAAGAAGGUUUUCGGAUCGUAAAACUCUGUUGUAAGGGAAGAACAAGUACGUUAGUAACUGAACGUACCUUGACGGUACCUUACCAGAAAGCCACGGCUAACUACGUG
rnacentral:rRNA from 1 species